AGCCGCCCAGCCAUGUAGUAUAUCGAACGUCGAUGGAACGGUUUUUAUUUUUUUAAGUAUCCAUCCGCCGUGCAUAGUAACGCCGUUGCUAAGGGCGCAGUUUUCCCGCGCGCCAACGAGAUGAAAUUUCAUCCGAGUUGACAGCUGAUUGCAUCACGAUGUGUGACCUUUCAGCGAAAUGACGGUGAUGUUGUGCUGUGGAUCUGAGGAGGGGGACAGCUGUUUUAGCCAGUGACAUCAUUUGGCUUGAUGGGAAUUAGACAAACUUGGCCAAGCAACCACCUGUCAGCACAUCAAAACAGUCCCAUCCAUUCUUACAGAGUUUAGAACCCUUCCCAAGCUACCUACUGUCUUACCCAUUACCAGCAACAUUUUUGUAGUUUUCAGGGGUCUUUCACACCUCUCUAAACAACCAAAAUUGACAUAAAGCCCAGCAGCAGCCAUGUCUGAUGAAAGCUCCUUGGUCAAAAUGGGAAUGUCUGCAUGUUCUAGCACUAGCAACCAUUCAUUUUAUUCUAACAUCAUAAUCAGAAACAAUCCACAAAUUAAUCUUCACAACAAUACCACCAUGGAUAUAGAUAGAUGCAGUUUAACAGCAGUAAAAAUUUGUUAAUGACAAUAGACUAUUAUGUACCUUUUUGGGACAUGUCAUUGAAUUCAGUAAAGCACAUUAAAACCUUGCACUGUGCUAUUUGCACCAGUGGGCAUUUUGACACACUGAGAAACUUAUGAAAGCACUUGUUUGGUCUGUUUAGGAACAGAUAACUACAAAACAAACCAUGUUUGAUUCAUUGUUAGACAAACUCAGCACUGACUGUUAAACAAUGGUUUCUUGAAAUUUGUUUAACUAACAUGGAGGUUAAAAACUGUGUAAAUACCUUUCAUGCGAACUAAGAUAUCCUGCAAAUGGGAUCAUUUAUUAUGUUUUUGGCCCAACCAACCAACUAGAUCCAACUAGUUUUGAUCAACUAACUGACCUCAGCAUGCAUUUUUGCUCAGUCCCAUGAUAUAUAUAUAUGAGUGGUUCCCCACGACAAGUUUGUACAUCAUUUCACUCAACUGUAAUUAUAUAACUCUGGCUAUAAAUUGUUGUUGUUUGAUUACAAAUCUUGUUUCUAAUUUGGCAUUGAUAUUUAUACAUGACAUGUUUGUUCAAUAAAAUUUGGCUAGUAUUUAAC